rnacentral:rRNA from 1 species
GAUGAACGCUGGCGGCGUGCCUAACACAUGCAAGUCGAGCGAACGGACCAGAAGUUUGCUUCUCUGAUGUUAUCGGCGGACGGGUGAGUAACAUGUGUAUAACCUACCUAUCAGACUGGGAUAAUUUCGGGAAACCGGAGCUUAUACCGGAUAAUAUUUUGCACCUCAUUGUUCAAAAGUUAAAUACGGUCUUGCUGUCACUUAUAGCUGGAUCCGCGCUGCAUUAGAUAGUUGUUAAUGUAACGGCUUACCAAGGCUACGAUGCAUAGCCGACCUGACAGGGUGGUCGGCCACCCGGGAAGUGAGACAGAGACCAGACUCCUGCGGGAAGAAGCAGUAGGGAAUCUUACGCAAUGGGGGAGAGCCUGACAGAGCAACGCCGCGUGAGUGAUGAAGGUCUACGGAUCGUAAAGCUAUGUUAUUAGGAGAGAACAAAUGUGUAAGUAACUGGGCAGAUAUUGACGGUACCUGGUCAAAAAGCCACGGCUAACUACGUG